rnacentral:rRNA from 1 species
UACGAAGGGGGCUAGCGUUGCUCGGAAUCACUGGGCGUAAAGCGCACGUAGGCGGACUGCUAAGUCAGGGGUGAAAUCCUGGAGCUCAACUCCAGAACUGCCUUUGAUACUGGCGACCUUGAGUCCGGGAGAGGUGAGUGGAACUGCGAGUGUAGAGGUGAAAUUCGUAGAUAUUCGCAAGAACACCAGUGGCGAAGGCGGCUCACUGGCCCGGUACUGACGCUGAGGUGCGAAAGCGUGGGGAGCAAACAGG